GUAGGUGGCAAGCGUUGUCCGGAAUUAUUGGGCGUAAAGCGCGCGCAGGCGGUUCUUUAAGUCUGAUGUGAAAGCCCACGGCUCAACCGUGGAGGGUCAUUGGAAACUGGAGAACUUGAGUACAGAAGAGGAAAGCGGAAUUCCACGUGUAGCGGUGAAAUGCGUAGAGAUGUGGAGGAGCACCAGUGGCGAAGGCGGCUUUCUGGUCUGUAACUGACGCUGAGGCGCGAAAGCGUGGGGGAGCAAACAGGAUUAGAUACCCUGGUAGUCCACGCCGUAAACGAUGAGUGCUAAGUGUUAGGGGGUUUCCGCCCCUUAGUGCUGCAGCUAACGCAUUAAGCACUCCGCCUGGGAGUACGGCCGCAAGGCUG
rnacentral:rRNA from 1 species